GAAGACGCUGCUGGAGGAGAUCAGUAGCUCUGGAGACGAUGGAAGUUUACGUUUCUAAAUGGGCUAGGAGUCUACAUGAUGUGGCCUCUAUUGGGAGCAAUCUCCACACCAAAGGCUAUCGGCUCCACCACGGGCAUCACUGGGUUGAGAUUCAAAUGGUCAGAAGAGCCUAAUUGAACACUAGCAGCUACCAGUCUAAGGAGCAGACUCGCCCACCACUCCUACAGCUCCACCUGAGACUACCCAAAGGACACC
rnacentral:lncRNA from 1 species